CUCUCUAUAAAUGAGCCUGUCUUAGUCAUGCUGUUUGGGAUAGUGACCAAGUUCUGCAGCGGUCAUGCCCCCAUUACCCAAUGAAGAAAAUUCUGCAGCUGCCUUGGAAGACCAUCCUGAUGGGAAUAAUGUUUAUAUGUCCGUAUAUGGCAAGGGUCUAAACUCUCCUCCUGGUGACCUACUGUCUUGACGAUUUUAGCCCAACCCCAAUCAAACACAGCCGAAGCAGCUAAUCAAAGUGUUCAGGGUUGCUUGAUAGUAACAGAAAGAUGUGUUGGAGCUUGGUAGGAACUGAACUCUGCAGGAUCGUAGCUUACCGGGAACAGGGUUGGAAACACCUGGUAUAUGGAGAUAAAAUUAUUGCUUUUAGAGGAUUCGAGCAGUUGCAGAGCAGUAAGGUUAGUAAACUGCAGCACUGGGUUUGCCGUCCCUGCCAAAGGACACCAUCUGUGCGGUGAGAAGUAUAAGAGCGGCAUCUUUACUGGUGUCUGCCUCCGAUCUCAUCAAACAACAUCAGAGACGUUCCAAGAAAGAAAACAAUGCUUUAAAAUGUUUUUGAUUAGGGAAAAAAAUUGAAGUGUAAACUUUGGAUAGAAGUGAACGGAACAUGAGUGGUCUCUCUUGAUCAUAAAUGAGGACAGAUUACAGGACUUUAGAAGGCCUGAAGCCGUGAUCAUCUUGCGGAAGUGCUGCUUUAUCUGUAGCCUGCUGUGCCAAGAGAAAUCUGAAUCACCCACCGAAUCUUGCAGAGACGGCGAGCGUGAACAGGAGCACAUUUUGGGACCAGUGAGAACAGCAUUUUCAAGAGCGCAGACAUUCAAGCAAAUGUUCAAGUACAUAGAGCCUAAAAAGCGUACCCCUGACACUUACGAUUCUGCUGUUUGUGAUCUACAAACUGAAGACAUUCAGGACUAUAAAGGCAUAAAGAAAUGACUGACUCAGAAAAGACAUUUCUACACACCACCAUCACUGACAUCUUGCCUGACCUUCCAGAGGUGACAAAACAUAUUUUAGAAGAGACCUUGCAGUCUCUUUGUGUGGAGACGAUUUUAGGUUUAUUGAAGAAGCUGAUUUGCUGUCAGCAUUGAGGCCAGUUCAAGCCCGCAAAGUCCUUGCUGCUUUGAAAUUGAGGUGUCAGACUCCUGAAAGCAGCAGCUCAUCUGGUGAUGCCUUGCCAGGGCCUUCAACAAGUUUUUGUUCAUUUUCACCCCAAAGUUCACAAUCAACCUCUCCCAUCAGCUCCCAAAACCCUAAUAUAGACUGGAUGGACACCUUUCUGAUUCCAUGGGAUAAGUUACCAGAGGAACUGCUACAAAUAUUUGAAAGAGGAAACCGACCUAGUCCACGUAUGAGAAGAGAGAUGGUCCGGAUUGUGGUUCGGGAGAUGAUACAAAAAAAUCGUUGCCCAAGUACGAAGCUUUCUAAUGAAGUUGCCAAGAAGAUGGUAGCAAAAUAUCCUAAAUCUCUGCAAGACGUAAUUGAGGGAGAGGUGGUUGGGCUAGGGUACCACUCUUUGGCUAAGCAGUUGCAGUACAGGAUAGAAAAUGUGAAACGAUGUACAACCCCAAAAAUAAGGAAAAGAAAAUGUUGCUCUGAUGAGUGUGACACCGAUGAAAUCUCUCCAGAACAGAGAGCCGCAAUGCAAGAUACUUAUGGCUGCAUUAACUGGCAUUUAAAAUUCCUGCCCCUUGGAGAGACAGAAGAGAGCCAGCGAGAAAAGAAAGAACAACUGAAAAGGAUGUUUCUGCGAACUGAAACAAAUGCAGAGGAGGUCAAGCAUCUAAUGAAGUUGACUUUCUAUACACAGCGUAAACAAGUCAACCAAGGGGAAAAUAUGAAACAUCUCCUCAAAAAGAGUGGCCAUUUUGGUUCAGCGAGCUUGGCAUGACAGUCCACUUUAAGGAACUUACUGGAAUUGGGCUCAUAGAAACUUUCACACGGAAUGUGGUUCUGAAGGGGAAACGACUCUUGAACUACUUCAAUACUGUUGGUGUAAACAAGAACAAAAAGUUCCUACAGGCUGUAACGAACUUGAAAGUGAUCAGGGGAGAGCUGAGUGAUGGCUCUAAAGAUGUCAAAGAGAUGUUGCUGUUUUUGUUGGCUUACUUUAAUGAUAAGGAAGACACAAUGUUUUGUUAAGUGGAGGACACCUGCCUGCCAGAGGAAGUACCGAUGGGUCAAGUUCAUCUGACUCCCAGCCUUGUUGUAUGUGGUUGAUUGUGUUUUUCUGCGAAGCGGUUCAUGCUAUGUGUGGAUCAAAACAUUGUUCACAACAAUAUCCCCUCCUUCAUUUCCGCAGUGUGCUUGAUGUUUGGCAGCUUUAAUAUACACUACCCAUCACAGCUGGCAUCAACUCUUGAGUUUAUGCAGAGGUGUUUUUUUUCCAUCAACCCAGAGAAGGGCACUAAGGUGGAGAAGACAAACACAUCACGUCUCCAUGUAAAUAUUGGUAUAUUUGUUUUAUUGCAUGUAAAGAGGAAAAUGCAAUGAUCCUUAAAAGGUGUUAAAACUUCUGUGCAUUGAACACCCUUAAUUGUUUUUUACGGAAGAUGAUUAGGGCCACUGGUGAAUUAUUUUUUUUAAAUUCUGACUUUAAACUCAGAAAUCUGACUUUAAACUCAGAAUUCUGACUUUAAUCUCAGAAUUCUGACUUUAAUCUCAGAAUUCUGAGAUUGAAGUCAGAAUUCUGAGAAUAAAGUCAGAAUUCAAAUAUUUUUUUCACCAGUGGCCCUAAUCCUCUUCCGUAGUUUUUAAUAGUUUAAAGAGAAAAGCUUAUUUCUUUCAUUGACUUUCUUUGUCUUUUUCUCUUUGAGUCAGUGAUGAUCAAGAUAAUCAUUUUUUUUUUUUGUAGAUGAUGUUUGUGUUGUUUGUAAAAAAAGUACAGUACACAUUACAAAUUUGUAUGUUAACAAAUGACAGAUGUUUUGUCCAAUAAUUUGAUGUGAAUAAAUUGUUCCAAAGCCAUUUUCAUGAUUAUUUUGAGAGAGCUGCAGCCUUUUUCUGUGAAAUAAACCUACAUUUUUGAAUAAAUAUACUUAAAAUGUAUGUAUUUAUUACAAUGAAAACAUGUAAAUUAAUCAGGUGUUUUACAAAAAUAUGGUGGCAAAGCAGCAGCCUUUUUCUGUGAAAUAAACCUAUAUUUUUGAAUAAAUAUACUUAAAAUGUAUGUAUUUAUUACAGUGAAACCAUGUAAAUUCACCAGGUAUUUCACAAAAUAAUUUUGAUGAAGCAGCAGCCUUUUUCUGUGAAAUAAAACUAUAUUUUUGAAUAAAUAUACUUAAAAUGUAUGUAUUUAUUACAAUGAAAACAUGUAAAUUAAUCAGGUGUUUCACAAAAAUAUGGUGGCAAAGCAGCAGCCUUUUUCUGUGAAAUAAACCUAUAUGUUUGAAUAAAUAUACUUAAAAUGUAUGUAUUUAUUACAAUUAAAACAUGUAAAUUAAUCAGGUGUUUCACAAAAAUAUGGUGGCAAAGCAGCAGCCUUUUUCUGUGAAAUAAACCUAUAUGUUUGAAUAAAUAUACUUAAAAUGUAUGUAUUUAUUACAAUUAAAACAUGUAAAUUAAUCAGGUGUUUCACAAAAAUAUGGUGGCAAAGCAGCAGCCUUUUCUGUGAAAUAAACCUAUAUUUUUGAAUAAAUAUACUUAAAAUGUAUGUAUUUAUUACAGUGAAACCAUGUAAAUUCAACAGGUAUUUCACAAAAUAAUUUUGAUGAAGCAGCAGCCUUUUUCUGUGAAAUAAAACUAUAUUUUUGAAUAAAUAUACUUAAAAUGUAUGUAUUUAUUACAAUGAAAACAUGUAAAUUAAUCAGGUGUUUCACAAAAAUAUGGUGGCAAAGCAGCAGCCUUUUUCUGUGAAAUAAACCUAUAUGUUUGAAUAAAUAUACUUAAAAUGUAUGUAUUUAUUACAAUUAAAACAUGUAAAUUAAUCAGGUGUUUCACAAAAAUAUGGUGGCAAAGCAGCAGCCUUUUUCUGUGAAAUAAACCUAUAUGUUUGAAUAAAUAUACUUAAAAUGUAUGUAUUUAUUACAAUUAAAACAUGUAAAUUAAUCAGGUGUUUCACAAAAAUAUGGUGGCAAAGCAGCAGCCUUUUCUGUGAAAUAAACCUAUAUUUUUGAAUAAAUAUACUUAAAAUGUAUGUAUUUAUUACAGUGAAACCAUGUAAAUUCACCAGGUAUUUCACAAAAUAAUUUUGAUGAAGCAGCAGCCUUUUUCUGUGAAAUAAAACUAUAUUUUUGAAUAAAUAUACUUAAAUGUAUGUAUUUAUUACAAUGAAAACAUGUAAAUUAAUCAGGUGUUUCACAAAAAUAUGGUGACAAAGCAGCAGCCUUUUUCUGUGAAAUAAACCUAUAUGUUUGAAUAAAUAUACUUAAAAUGUAUGUUUUUCUUACAGUGAAACCGUGUAAAUUUACCAGGUAUUUCACAAAAUAAUUUUGAUGAAGCAACAGCAUUUUU